GAAAUGCGAUAAGUAAUGUGAAUUGCAGAAUUCAGUGAAUCAUCGAAUCUUUGAACGCACAUUGCGCCCGCCAGCACUCUGGCGGGCAUGCCUGUUCGAGCGUCAUUUCAACCCUCAGAACCCCUUGCGGGAUCUGGCGUUGGGGAUUGGCAUCCAGCCAUCCCCGAAAUCUAGUGGCGGUCCCUCCGCGACCUCCCCUGUGCAGUAGCGAUACCUCGCAGCGGGACAGCGGUCUGACCACGCCGUAAAACCCCCAACUUCUCAAGGUUGACCUCGAAUCAGGUAGGAAUACCCGCUGAACUUAAGC
rnacentral:misc_RNA from 1 species